GGCUCUUUGGUGGGGCUAAAGGCGGACUCUGGGAGGGCUCAUGCCAAGGAGUACUUACCAGAACUUCUGCUGCCAGUGUCCUUGUCCCCACGAUGAAGCACAGCCACCCCCCGUCACCCCAGGAGACCCUCCAAUGCUAGCAGGUCAUGAGAUCCUUGAGAGCAGAAACCACUCUGUCAUUUCUGUAUCCUGAGCAUUUAUUUCUGCAUUCAUACAAGGAUGACAGUACCUAGUUCAUGGGUUAUUAAAUUUUACAUAUAGGGCUUCCCUGGCGGCGCAGUGGUUGGGAAGCCGCCUGCCAAUGCAGGGGACAGGGUUUGGGCCCUGGUCCGGGAGGA